rnacentral:rRNA from 1 species
ACUCCUGCGGGAGGCAGCAGUGGGGAAUUUUGGACAAUGGGCGAAAGCCUGAUCCAGCAAUGCCGCGUGUGUGAAGAAGGCCUUCGGGUUGUAAAGCACUUUUGUCCGGAAAGAAAUCCUUGGCUCUAAUACAGUCGGGGGAUGACGGUACCGGAAGAAUAAGCACCGGCUAACUACGUGCCAGCAGCCGCGGUAAUACGUAGGGUGCGAGCGUUAAUCGGAAUUACUGGGCGUAAAGCGUGCGCAGGCGGUUUGCUAAGACCGAUGUGAAAUCCCCGGGCUCAACCUGGGAACUGCAUUGGUGACUGGCAGGCUAGAGUAUGGCAGAGGGGGGUAGAAUUCCACGUGUAGCAGUGAAAUGCGUAGAGAUGUGGAGGAAUACCGAUGGCGAAGGCAGCCCCCUGGGCCAAUACUGACGCUCAUGCACGAAAGCGUGGGGAGCAAACAGGAUUAGAAACCCUUGUAGUCCCAUGA